rnacentral:rRNA from 1 species
UCGUGAAAGUCCGGGGCUUAACCCCGGAUCUGCGGUGGGUACGGGCAGACUAGAGUGCAGUAGGGGAGACUGGAAUUCCUGGUGUAGCGGUGGAAUGCGCAGAUAUCAGGAGGAACACCGAUGGCGAAGGCAGGUCUCUGGGCUGUAACUGACGCUGAGGAGCGAAAGCAUGGGGAGCGAACAGGAUUAGAUACCCUGGUAGUCCAUGCCGUAAACGUUGGGCACUAGGUGUGGGGACCAUUCCACGGUUUCCGCGCCGCAGCUAACGCAUUAAGUGCCCCGCCUGGGGAGUACGGCCGCAAGGCUAAAACUCAAAGGAAUUGACGGGGGCCCGCACAAGCGGCGGAGCAUGCGGAUUAAUUCGAUGCAACGCGAAGAACCUUACCAAGGCUUGACAUGUUCUCGAUCGCCGUAGAGAUACGGUUUCCCCUUUGGGGCGGGUUCACAGGUGGUGCAUGGUUGUCGUCAGCUCGUGUCGUGAGAUGUUGGGUUAAGUCCCGCAACGAGCGCAACCCUCGUUCCAUGUUGCCAGCACGUCGUGGUGGGGACUCAUGGGAGACUGCCGGGGUCAACUCGGAGGAAGGUGAGGACGACGUCAAAUCAUCAUGCCCCUUAUGUCUUGGGCUUCACGCAUGCUACAAUGGCCGGUACAAUGGGUUGCGAUACUGUGAGGUGGAGCUAAUCCCAAAAAGCCGGUCUCAGUUCGGAUUGGGGUCUGCAACUCGACCCCAUGAAGUCGGAGUCGCUAGUAAUCGCAGAUCAGCAACGCUGCGGUGAAUACGUUCCCGGGCCUUGUACACACCCGCCCGUAAAG